rnacentral:lncRNA from 1 species
UAUUUGGUUUUCUAUUCCUGUGUUAGUUUCCCAGCUGAAUUCAAACUCAUUCCCAGAUGACUUGGCCUCCUCAAUUGAUGUACACUGAAGAAAGAGCCACCUUCAGGCUGUAAGGUCAUCGUAUAAUCCUGACCACUCAUUUCCCAUCAUGACGCUGCUGUUCCUUCUCUUUCUCUUUCUUGGAUGUCUGAUACAAACAGCCUCAGGGGAGGCCAAUCAGAGGAUGCAUUUUCCCAGAGAAGGAGCAUCUGAAGAGUUUAAGACCUUGGGGAAAGAGAGUCUUGCUGCUUGCUUGUGGGACUUGCCUUGGAAGGUAGAUAAGUUCACUGCAUCCUACAACUUUUU